rnacentral:lncRNA from 1 species
AAAUGGGAAGUUCAAGGAGAGGGUUCCAGAAGAAGAUUUCGAGAAGAAGAGAAAAGAAGAUUUCGGGAAGAGAUUGGAGAGAGCCAAAAAUCGCCGUGAAUCAAAGUAUUUAUAUCAUUUGCAAAUGGAUUCAGGUGAGUUUUCAAUUGCGUUUUGAUUUUCUCCGCGUCGUUUACAUCUUUCUUCUGUUGCCGUUUUGCUUGUUUUCCUGCUGCAACUUUGGUGCGUUUGGACGUCGUUUAUGCUUUAAGCUACGCUUGAAUUGGUGUUGCAUCAGCUUGUGCGUUUUUGAAAUGCAGCUUCUCUUUUGCGUUUGCAGCUAGCUACCGUUCAUUUCCAAUUUCGAUUUGCUUUGGCUCUCAUUGCGUAGCCGGAAUGCAACAGACGUUCAUGCCGCCAUUAGGACGUUGCUUUGUGUACGUCGUCGUUUGGAAGCUCCGUGUCGGCUUAGCUUGGAACGUAGCCUUUACAGCUUUUGCUUUUCCAAAUUGCUCUUUUGUCUUAUCUAAUUAAAUUAAUUGUUGGAUAAAUGGAUAUUGGAGAAAUUGAAUUAACUGAAUUGAUAAAUGGGUUUCAAGUGGCCUAAUGGACUUUGACCAAGAUGUAAAAAUCAAAAUGGAUUAAUAAUGGAUCAAAUAUGGAUUGUGGUUUUAGUUUAGUGAAUGGAUUAGUAAAUGGUUUUUGUAAAUGAAAGAUGGGUAAUUGGUUGGUUUUGGUUAAUUGGAUAUGAAAUUGGAUUAAAAAUGAUUUUAAGGGAUUUGGAUAUUAAACAAAAUGGGUAAGGGUUUUGGACAUGGAUAAUGGACUUUGGAUAUGUGGUAUGGAUACGGGCUCAACCCAAAGAAAAAUGGGCCUCCCUAAAUUAACAAUAAUGGUUCAUCCCCAAAAAUGAAUAAAAAGGCAAUUCUAAAGGUUAAA